rnacentral:lncRNA from 1 species
UCAGCGACCAUGGCCCCUCAGACUCUGGCGGCUGCCACCUCCACCGUCUUCCAUGAGGUCAAGUGGGACCAAAUUAGUGUUUCCACUUGUUUUAAUAGUGAAGUGGCAAUGUGGUCUCCUAAGCUCUCUCUGCUCUCCCCCAUAAAUACUAAUAACUCAAGACUGACCCCAUCUUCUACUGCCUGCCUGUGGUUCACGAUACAGUGCCCUCGGCGCAGGCGAAACUGGCGGGACAGAAAGCAGUUGUGGCCCAGGGCCGGGAGCAGGGACUGAGGAGGGAAGUGUCUCAAAACUGAGGUGCGGUGAUGGUUACACACCAUAAAUAUUUUCUCAAAGUCAGUGAACCAUACACUCACAUUGGGUGAACUGCAUGCUAUUCAAAUCCCGGGUAAAUAACACUGUUAAACGCGCAAACACAAAAGCCAACCAGAUCUCGGAACACCCCCAGGCCGGGUGCGAGGCAGAAGCAGAGCCGACUCCAGGGCCACCGGCAACGGGCAGCAGAGGCCUGGCCUGGCCUUCGGUGACUUCAACACCCCUUCCCCUGGCCCCACUGACCUCCUGAGCGUGGCAUCUGUGGCCGCAAACACCACCACGGUCCAGGGACUACCGGAUCCACAGCUCCUCCAACUCCCUUCCAGCUGCACUGGCCCCACCCCACCCCUCCACCCAUUUGAGCAGAACCCGAAUAAAGAC